rnacentral:lncRNA from 1 species
GACAGUGACAGCUCUUGAGUGUCUUGGUCCCUUUGUCCUCUGAGACACAAGUGGUUGUGCAGGAGUUGAGUCAGCGCUGUGGUCUGCAGAAGGGACCCCAGCCCGCAGUCAUCAAGACUUCUCUGUUAAAGACUGGUUUUAGUUUGCCUUUAUGUAAGGGCAGUAAAUGCUUUUUGGAACUCUCCUGGUCAUUGCUAGGUCUCGUGGCAGUGAUGUGGGUGUGCAGCCCAGCACUGUACUGCCUUUUCAUCAGUGAGUGUCCUUGCAGACACUCUGCUCAGGUCUGCAUUGGCAGUGUGUGCUUUCUGCUCACCAGGUGUCCAUCAUCCCGCGUGGAAAGGGGCUGGGCUAUGCUCAGUACUUGCCCAAGGAGCAGUAUCUGUACACAAAGGAGCAGCUGCUGGACAGGAUGUGCAUGACUCUGGGUGGCCGUGUCUCCGAGGAGAUCUUCUUUGGAAGAAUUACGACCGGUGCCCAGGAUGACUUGAGGAAGGUUACCCAGAGUGCCUAUGCCCAGAUUGUUCAGUUUGGCAUGAAUGAGAAAGUGGGGCAGAUCUCCUUUGACCUCCCACGACAGGGGGACAUGGUAUUAGAGAAGCCUUACAGUGAAGCCACUGCAAGAAUGAUAGACGAUGAAGUGAGGAUACUCAUUAGUGAAGCCUAUAAAAGAACUGUGGCUCUUCUCACAGAGAAGAAGGCUGACGUGGAGAAG